rnacentral:rRNA from 1 species
GCCAGACUCCUACGGGAGGCAGCAGUGGGGAAUAUUGCACAAUGGGGGAAACCCUGAUGCAGCGACGCCGCGUGAGUGAAGAAGUAUUUCGGUAUGUAAAGCUCUAUCAGCAGGGAAGAAAAUGACGGUACCUGACUAAGAAGCCCCGGCUAACUACGUGCCAGCAGCCGCGGUAAUACGUAGGUGGCAAGCGUUAUCCGGAUUUAUUGGGUGUAAAGGGCGUGUAGGCGGGAGCGCAAGUCAGAUGUGAAAACUCAGGGCUCAACCCUGAGCCUGCAUUUGAAACUGUGUUUCUUGAGUGCUGGAGAGGCAAUCGGAAUUCCGUGUGUAGCGGUGAAAUGCGUAGAUAUUAGGAGGAACACCAGUGGCGAAGGCGGCCUGCUGGGCUUUAACUGACGCUGAGGCUCGAAGGCGUGGGGAGCAAACAGGAUUAGAUACCCUCGUAUGC